GACGAACGCUGGCGGCGUGCUUAACACAUGCAAGUCGAACGGAAAGGCCCUGCUUUUGUGGGGUGCUCGAGUGGCGAACGGGUGAGUAACACGUGAGUAACCUGCCCUUGCCUUUGGGAUAACUUCAGGAAACUGGGGCUAAUACCGGAUAGGAGCUCCUGCUGCAUGGUGGGGGUUGGAACGUUUCGGCGGUUGGGGAUGGACUCGCGGCUUAUCAGCUUGUUGGUGGGGUAGUGGCUUACCAAGGCUUUGACGGGUAGCCGGCCUGAGAGGGUGACCGGCCACAUGGGGACUGAGAUACGGCCCAGACUCCUACGGGAGGCAGCAGUGGGGAAUAUUGCACAAUGGGCGGAAGCCUGAUGCAGCAACGCCGCGUGCGGGAUGACGGCCUUCGGGUUGUAAACCGCUUUCGCCUGUGACGAAGCGUGAGUGACGGUAAUGGGUAAAGAAGCACCGGCUAACUACGUG
rnacentral:rRNA from 1 species